UGUUUCGGCUAGGGGGCCAUCCCGGCUUACCAACCCGAUGCAAACUGCGAAUACCGGAGAAUGUUAUCACGGGAGACACACGGCGGGUGCUAACGUCCGUCGUGAAGAGGGAAACAACCCAGACCGCCAGCUAAGGUCCCAAAGUCAUGGUUAAGUGGGAAACGAUGUGGGAAGGCCCAGACAGCCAGGAUGUUGGCUUAGAAGCAGCCAUCAUUUAAAGAAAGCGUAAUAGCUCACUGGUCGAGUCGGCCUGCGCGGAAGAUGUAACGGGGCUAAACCAUGCACCGAAGCUGCGGCAGCGACGCUGAUGCGUUGUUGGGUAGGGGAGCGUUCUGUAAGCCUGUGAAGGUGGCCUGUGAGGGUUGCUGGAGGUAUCAGAAGUGCGAAUGCUGACAUAAGUAACGAUAAAGCGGGUGAAAAGCCCGCUCGCCGGAAGACCAAGGGUUCCUGUCCAACGUUAAUCGGGGCAGGGUGAGUCGACCCCUAAGGCGAGGCCGAAAGGCGUAGUCGAUGGGAAACGGGUUAAUAUUCCCGUACUUGGUGUUACUGCGAAGGGGGGACGGAGAAGGCUAUGUUGGCCGGGCGACGGUUGUCCCGGUUUAAGCGUGUAGGUGUGUGUUCCAGGUAAAUCCGGUUCACUUUAACACUGAGGCGUGAUGACGAGGCACUACGGUGCUGAAGCAACAAAUGCCCUGCUUCCAGGAAAAGCCUCUAAGCAUCAGGUAACAUCAAAUCGUACCCCAAACCGACACAGGUGGUCAGGUAGAGAAUACCAAGGCGCUUGAGAGAACUCGGGUGAAGGAACUAGGCAAAAUGGUGCCGUAACUUCGGGAGAAGGCACGCUGACAUGUAGGUGAAGUGAUUUACUCACGGAGCUGAAGUCAGUCGAAGAUACCAGCUGGCUGCAACUGUUUAUUAAAAACACAGCACUGUGCAAACACGAAAGUGGACGUAUACGGUGUGACGCCUGCCCGGUGCCGGAAGGUUAAUUGAUGGGGUCAGCGCAAGCGAAGCUCCUGAUCGAAGCCCCGGUAAACGGCGGCCGUAACUAUAACGGUCCUAAGGUAGCGAAAUUCCUUGUCGGGUAAGUUCCGACCUGCACGAAUGGCGUAAUGAUGGCCAGGCUGUCUCCACCCGAGACUCAGUGAAAUUGAACUCGCUGUGAAGAUGCAGUGUACCCGCGGCAAGACGGAAAGACCCCGUGAACCUUUACUAUAGCUUGACACUGAACAUUGAGCCUUGAUGUGUAGGAUAGGUGGGAGGCUUUGAAGUGUGGACGCCAGUCUGCAUGGAGCCGGCCUUGAAAUACCACCCUUUAAUGUUUGAUGUUCUAACGUGGACCCGUGAUCCGGGUUGCGGACAGUGUCUGGUGGGUAGUUUGACUGGGGCGGUCUCCUCCUAAAGAGUAACGGAGGAGCACGAAGGUUGGCUAAUCCUGGUCGGACAUCAGGAGGUUAGUGCAAUGGCAUAAGCCAGCUUGACUGCGAGCGUGACGGCGCGAGCAGGUGCGAAAGCAGGUCAUAGUGAUCCGGUGGUUCUGAAUGGAAGGGCCAUCGCUCAACGGAUAAAAGGUACUCCGGGGAUAACAGGCUGAUACCGCCCAAGAGUUCAUAUCGACGGCGGUGUUUGGCACCUCGAUGUCGGCUCAUCACAUCCUGGGGCUGAAGUAGGUCCCAAGGGUAUGGCUGUUCGCCAUUUAAAGUGGUACGCGAGCUGGGUUUAGAACGUCGUGAGACAGUUCGGUCCCUAUCUGCCGUGGGCGCUGGAGAACUGAGGGGGGCUGCUCCUAGUACGAGAGGACCGGAGUGGACGCAUCACUGGUGUUCGGGUUGUCAUGCCAAUGGCACUGCCCGGUAGCUAAAUGCGGAAGAGAUAAGUGCUGAAAGCAUCUAAGCACGAAACUUGCCCCGA
rnacentral:rRNA from 1 species